rnacentral:rRNA from 1 species
CCUACGGGUGGCAGCAGUGAGGAAUAUUGGUCAAUGGACGCAAGUCUGAACCAGCCAUGCCGCGUGCAGGAAGACGGCUCUAUGAGUUGUAAACUGCUUUUGUACGAGGGUAAAUCCCGAUACGUGUAUCGGGUUGAAAGUAUCGUACGAAUAAGGAUCGGCUAACUCCGUGCCAGCAGCCGCGGUAAUACGGAGGAUUCAAGCGUUAUCCGGAUUUAUUGGGUUUAAAGGGUGCGCAGGGGGGAGAUCAAGUCAGCGGUAAAAUUGAGAGGCUCAACCUCUUAGAGCCGUUGAGACUGGUUGGGUUGAGUGAGCGAGAGGUAGGCGGAAUGCGUGGUGUAGCGGUGAAAUGCAUAGAUAUCACGCAGAACUCCGAUUGCGAAGGCAGCAUACCGGCGCUCAACUGACGCUCAUGCACGAAAGUGUGGGUAUCGAACAGGAUUAGAUACCCCGGUAGUC